CGCCCCGGCAUUGGGUAAAGAGACAUUGGUGGUGGUGGUGGUGUUCUUAUAUCAGUCAGGGGCAGGGCAGAUGGCAGUCCUUUGUUCAUCAUAGCUUGAUGCUUAGUUUGGUGGCCAAAGCUGUUUUAUGCCUAGGACACAUAA
ensembl:snoRNA LOC120095434 small nucleolar RNA SNORA48